AUUGCAGAUACUUUUUAGCUCCAGGCCCGGUGGCUAGGUUGGUUCUCUCCUUUCCAAUCGGAGACCUCUGCCGCAAACAUGCUCCGCCAGAUCCUCAGUCAGGCCAAGAAGCAUCCGAGCGUAAGUUCGUGACCUCUCUCCUAGUGUUUUCCCUUGUCCUCCUUGCGUCGGGGUGCGCCUUUUGGUAAAUAAGAGGGGUCCGUGAUCUUGGAAUCCUCACUUUGUCUGGACGUCGUUGCAUUUGGGGAAAUUUCGUAGUGCGGAAUUUAAUUGCAGUUAAGUUCUUUCGCAUCUCAUUUUCCCUCAGCACAUCAACGUGCUGUAGAGCUAAAAGUCUAUGCAAUCUUUCAUCUGUCUUAAAUCCAGUUCCCUAAAUACGCAGCAAGAGCAUUGGUAGCAUUACGUUUUCAGAGAUAAUGCUUAAAGCCAGUAUUUGUAAUAGAUACGUUUACUUAUUCAGACUCUAUUUUUCAUACAUCUUUAUGGAGGCACCCUUAAAUAAUUUGCAAAGAAUUUGUUUUUCAAGCCCCAGGGUAAAGGAAGCCAGAAAAUUUAAUGGGAAUGACAUGUAA
rnacentral:sRNA from 1 species